rnacentral:rRNA from 1 species
GAUGAACGCUGGCGGCGUGCCUAAUACAUGCAAGUCGAGCGAACGGACGAGAAGCUUGCUUCUCUGAUGUUAGCGGCGGACGGGUGAGUAACACGUGGAUAACCUACCUAUAAGACUGGGAUAACUUCGGGAAACCGGAGCUAAUACCGGAUGAUAUUUUGAACCGCAUGGUUCAAAAGUGAAAGACGGUCUUGCUGUCACUUAUAGAUGGAUCCGCGCUGCAUUAGCUAGUUGGUAAGGUAACGGCUUACCAAGGCAACGAUGCAUAGCCGACCUGAGAGGGUGAUCGGCCACACUGGAACUGAGACCCGGCCCAGACUCCUACGGGAGGCAGCAGUAGGGAAUCUUCCGCAAUGGGCGAAAGCCUGACGGAGCAACGCCGCGUGAGUGAGGAAGGUCUUCGGAUCGUAAAACUCUGUUAUUAGGGAAGAACAUAUGUGUAAGUAACUGUGCACAUCUUGACGGUACCUAAUCAGAAAGCCACGGCUAACUACGUG